GCUCAGUGAGUUUACAUGUUAGAGGGAGUGGGGUAUAGUGACACAGUAACAGAGGGAUUGAGGGCCCUGCUCAGUGAGUUUACAUGUUAGAGGGAGUAGGGUAUAGUGACACAGUAACAGAGGGAUUGAGGGCCCUGCUCAGUGAGUUUACAUGUUAGAGGGAGUGGGGUAUAGUGACACAGUAACAGAGGGAUUGAGGGC